AGGACGAACGCUGGCGGCGUGCUUAACACAUGCAAGUCGAACGGUAAGGCCUUUCGGGGUACACGAGUGGCGAACGGGUGAGUAACACGUGGGUGAUCUGCCCUGCACUUUGGGAUAAGCCUGGGAAACUGGGUCUAAUACCGAAUAUGACCAUUGGUUGCAUGACUGGUGGUGGAAGCUUUUGCGGUGUGGGAUGGGCCCGCGGCCUAUCAGCUUGUUGGUGGGGUUAAGGCCUACCAAGGCGACGACGGGUAGCCGGCCUGAGAGGGUGUCCGGCCACACUGGGACUGAGAUACGGCCCAGACUCCUACGGGAGGCAGCAGUGGGGAAUAUUGCACAAUGGGCGCAAGCCUGAUGCAGCGACGCCGCGUGAGGGACGACGGCCUUCGGGUUGUAAACCUCUUUCAGUAGGGACGAAGCGCAAGUGACGGUACCUACAGAAGAAGGACCGGCCAACUACGUGCCAGCAGCCGC
rnacentral:rRNA from 1 species